rnacentral:rRNA from 1 species
GAGUUUGAUCAUGGCUCAGGAUGAACGCUAGCGGGAGGCCUAACACAUGCAAGCCGAGCGGUAUUGUUUCUUCGGAAAUGAGAGAGCGGCGUACGGGUGCGGAACACGUGUGCAACCUGCCUUUAUCUGGGGGAUAGCCUUUCGAAAGGAAGAUUAAUACUCCAUAAUAUAUUGAACGGCAUCGUUUAAUAUUGAAAGCUCCGGCGGAUAGAGAUGGGCACGCGCAAGAUUAGCUAGUUGGUGAGGUAACGGCUCACCAAGGCAAUGAUCUUUAGGGGCCUGAGAGGGUGAUCCCCCACACUGGUACUGAGACACGGACCAGACUCCUACGGGAGGCAGCAGUGAGGAAUAUUGGUCAAUGGGUGCAAGCCUGAACCAGCCAUCCCGCGUGAAGGACGACUGCCCUAUGGGUUGUAAACUUCUUUUGUAUAGGGAUAAACCUACCCUCGUGAGGGUAGCUGAAGGUACUAUACGAAUAAGCACCGGCUAACUCCGUG